rnacentral:rRNA from 1 species
GAUGAACGCUGGCGGCGUGCCUAAUACAUGCCAGUCGAGCGAACAGACGAGGAGCUUGCUCCUCUGACGUUAGCGGCGGACGGGUGAGUAACACGUGGAUAACCUACCUAUAAGACUGGGAUAACUUCGGGAAACCGGAGCUAAUACCGGAUAAUAUAUUGAACCGCAUGGUUCAAUAGUGAAAGACGGUUUUGCUGUCACUUAUAGAUGGAUCCGCGCCGCAUUAGCUAGUUGGUAAGGUAACGGCUUACCAAGGCAACGAUGCGUAGCCGACCUGAGAGGGUGAUCAGCCACACUGGAACUGAGACACGGUCCAGACUCCUACGGGAGGCAGCAGUAGGGAAUAUUCCGCAAUGGGCGAAAGCCUGACGGAGCAACGCCGCGUGAGUGAUGAAGGUCUUCGGAUCGUAAAACUCUGUUAUUAGGGAAGAACAAAUGUGUAAGUAACUAUGCACGUCUUGACGGUACCUAAUCAGAAAGCCACGGCUAACUACGUG